rnacentral:hammerhead_ribozyme from 1 species
AUCCAGCAGACGAGUCCCAAAGUGGACAAAACCCGUGUCCUGGAU